ensembl:lncRNA
GGAGGAGGUGAGACAGAUGGAGGGAUUGAAGCGUGAGGCGGACUGUGCCCAUUCCAAGAGCUCCAAUGGGAUGCCUUCAUCAGAGAGAGCAGAGACCAUCCUUGGAAGAGUGGGCUUUCUGGUCAUGAACCACAUGCAGAAAAUCCCAUUUUUGAAGAUGAAGGAAAAAGAGAAAAAUAAGAAACUGCAUAAGAAGUUGAAAGAUGACGAGAAAGAGAGAAAGGAGAAGAAAAACAAGGAGGAGGAGAACAAAAAGAGGGAGAAGAAAGAGAUGAAUGAGAGAGAGAAAGAGCAGAAGAAAGUCAUGAAGGCUGAGAAAAAGAGGGAGAAGUUAGAACAGAAAAAGAGAGAGAAGGAAAGAAAAGAGAAGGAAAAGGCAGAGAAAAAGAGGAGUUUUCAGCUGAUAAGAGUCUUCCUGCACCCGCAGCACUGCCUCUAAGGCUGCCCUGCACCCACAGCAUUGACCACAAACAGCUAUGGGAGAAAGUUGAGGACAACACAGAGUUCU